ensembl:lncRNA
AGCAAAAGCUGGCAUGGCUGACCGCGUCGCCCGAAUUGUAUAACCAAAUAUUCGGGUUUGUACAAGAAAUGGGCAGCGGUGAAGUUUGAGAUUUGGCAGUCCAUCAUGGCGGACAGGAAAUAACAGAACAAGCUUAAGCUACGAGCAGGAACAUUCCACAGGAGCCGGUUCAUGUUGCUGUGGCAGCAAGGGGCAGAGCUAACAGGCUAUUCUGGAUCUCUGACGGCUGCGUUCCUUUUAAAAACGACCCAAACUGAGAGAACAAGAAAAGGAAGAGGAUGUUGUAAUUCCCACUUAAGCAACUAUAUUUUCCGCUAACAAAAACUGAUUUGCCUUUCACUGGAGAUCUGGAAAACACCCCACGCCCAUGAGGGACAUCAAGUCAACACGUCUAUCGGUCAAAACAUGUUAUGCAGUAGCUAAAUGGCUUGACUAACCAUUCUCAGCUACUAGGAAAGAGGUUGUAAAUAUGUACAUGCUUUUUGUCUUUUUUUCCCCAUCACAAUGUAAAACUUCAGAUGAAGGUGCAAAUAAGUUACAUUUUCUGUUAUAUAUCUCUCACUGUAAAUGUCUUAAUAGACUUGGUCCAGCUGAUUGUGUUAUGUUAAAGACUGGGUUGAAAGAUGGCUUAGUCACUGUAGUUUUGGUCUAACGUGAGCCAGUCUUGCAUUGUGUGCAAAAUACCAGCCGGACCCCUAAACCUACAUGGCUGAAGUCAUGAUUGGGCAGUAAAAGUUGGACAGGAAGGAAGCAAUGUCUGAAAUGGCAUCUCUUUUCUUGUUUAAAGCUUAUUGCACCACCACCCACUGCUGAUAUGAUCUUAGCUGUUAGAAAGCACUCUUGAGCCACUGGUUUGACUGGAGGCUUGACAAUUGUAAAAUAGGUACAGCCCAAGAGAAGAUGGAACACUUUUGCCUGACAUUUUGACCUGACAGCAGGUCUGUCUAUAGUGGCCUCCUCAGUGGAUUAUGACUUUAAUUAAAGGGAUUGUUCACUCAAAAAUAAAAAUU